GUGCAGGUGAUCCUGGGGAGGCCGGGGGCCGCGCCGGGGGUGCCAGGGUCCCUCACACUGGAGUGGCGGCGCCUCCCCGUGGUGUCCCCGCUCCUGGGUCCUUUUUGGGACUGGCUCUGGCACUCCCGGGCACUCAGUCCAGUAGAGAAGGCUUCCAGGUCGGACUCCUCCGAGGGGUAAAGAGAGGGAAGGGAACCUCACAAACACACCCAGGAGCAUCUGGCGAUGGAGGAUGAGAAGACAAGAGAGUGACGGGGGCAGAGUCAGGGGUCUGAUCUCCUUGCGAGCCACCUGAUCUCCCCGGGCCUCUGUUUUCUCAUCUGUGAAAUGACGGGUUGGACGGCCUUGUCUCUGAGGCCUCAUCCAGUUCCACGUACAGGAAGAUAUAAAUGCAAAUGUGCAAAAAAAGGAAGAAGGAAAGAUGGACCAAGUUCACCUGUUUGAUGGAAAAGCAGAAGCUCAGAAAAUGGAGGCUAAGUAACUUGUUCAAGAUCACAGAGCAAGCAGAUGUCACAGCUGGAAUCUGAACCCAGGUGUGUUUGACCUUAUCCUCUGCUCUAAUCAUACUGCCACAAUGCACAUUGCUGAAUACGAUCUUCAAUACAAAAGUUUCUUGGGGAAGAAAAGAGGAAAAAUAGAAGUUUAUUACCUGGUCC